AGCUCCAGCAGCGUAUAUUUAUAUUGCUGCGGUUAAAAAGCUCGUAGUUGAAACGUCAGACGCGGUAGGACGGACGGCCGCACCGGUCGCACUCGUCCGAACGCGCCAGGCGCGGAGGGCGCGCGUCGCUUGCACUUCGCCGUGUGGGCGCGCCGCCGCUGCACGUUCACCUUGAAGAAAUUGAACCGCUUAGAGGGGGCGAGCAGCUUGAACAGCUCAGCAUGGUAUGAUGGAACAUGGGCUUGUACUCAUUUUGUCGGUUAGAGAGUCGGCGAGCCAAUGAUUAACAGGGACGGCCGGGGGCAUUAGUACUCGGACGGGAGAGGUGAAAUUCAAGGAUCGUCCGAAGACUUCCUACUGCGAAAGCAUUUGCCAAGAAUGUUUUCAUUAAUCAAGAACG
rnacentral:rRNA from 1 species